rnacentral:lncRNA from 1 species
AAUUAAAUCACAACUCAGAAAUCACAACUGAAGGUAAUCAAUUCAUAUUACAAAUAUAUUUAUGGCUUUGAAUUAACCUCUAGCCAAACUAAAAUUAGUUACACAUUAUUAUCAAAUUAAACCAAAAGUAAAACAUAAGUUGGAAAGAUUAAACCGAAAGAGGAUCUGCUGCGUUCGUGCCCACUUCUCUCUCCCCCUGCCCGCGUCAGUCUUCCUUGCGUCAGUCUCAGCUGCAAGGGCAGCUUCCCCCGUGCUCACCUCUCUCCAUACUCACCAUGCCGUGCUCACCUUUGGACUGCUUCUUUCCCCGCGCCCCCUUAUUUCUCCUGCUCUGUCCGCGUGUUCUGCUGCAAGGCAGCUUUGUUUCCCACGUGACCCUCCUAUCUCCCUGCACGUUCCUGUCUUCCCCUUCUCACUGACUUCUUGUUUCCCGUGUGCUGACCUUCACAAGCUGCCCAAAGGCAGCCUUCUUUCCUUCCUGCGUCUCUGCGAGCUGCCCAAAGGGCAGCCCCUUUCUCCCGCUCCCAGACCCCCCUCCUUCACUUCCUGCACGCUAGUCCCUCUUAUUCCCUCUUUCUUUUUCUUUUAUCUCCACUUCUCUUAUUUUCAUUUAUUCUUUCUGGCAGUCACGCCAACCUCCUCACUUCUAUUAUUUUAUUUCCCACUCCUCUAUGUCUGCCAUGUUGCUUUCUGCCUUUACUGUCUUUCCGCCACGUCUCUUGCCUACUCUCCUGCCUUUUCUUCGCACCAAUCCUUCUCUUUUCUUCUACCCGCAAGUGGCUUCCAGGUGCUGCUUCUUAUUUCUUUUUUUUCUUUUUCCGCUGCAAGGUGCUCCUCUCACCUACCACCUGCAAUGUGGCUUAUAUUAUUUUUCUUUCUUCCACUAUCACGCUGCAUUCCACUAGAUUCAACAGAGGCACGCUAACAUUGGGUAGAGUCCACAUGUCUGCAAGUUCUUUGUGCAAAUAGAAACUGGAAACUGUGGAUAAGAGUGCUAGCACGUAUCAAAUAUAGAGUCUUGAAAUAUUAAUUUCGUUAGAUUACUACUUCACGAUUUACUGACGAUAAGGAUUGAUUUUUAUUUUCCAUAUUCACACCAGAAUUUGAUAACUUUUUCUCCAAAGGCUGCCCACUAAUUAAAGUUUUCAAGUAAACAAUUCGUGAUAAAAUCAAACUCCACAUACUAAAAUUAUAAGCAUGAAUAAGCAUUGAGUUUGGCAUGAUUAAAGACCAAGAAUAACAAAUCCUAUAAACACAAAAAUAAUGUAAAUAGCUCAAAAAUAUAAGGAACUAACUAAGAAAAGACGAGUGAAUUUGAAGUAAAAAUAUAUAUAAAUAUGAUCCGAUCAAAUACCCCCAUACUUAGCUUUUGCUAGUCCUCGAGCAAAACAAAGAAAACAAGUACUAACAUGAAAAACAUUAGUUUCCCCCUAUGUGACCCUCAUAGAAUUUCAUUCGAGAAAACAAAUCAUCAAGAACCAUAGCUAGCACCAAACAAAUUAAUCCAAGUUCAUCUUCCUUAUUCAAAUAUUAGCAGUAAUCUUUGAAUCAUCCUUGAAGUGUAGUGUGUGAGAUAGCCAUGCUAAUGCAAUUUCAAGUUUUUAUUUUUAAAAUCAUCAUAUGCAAACUAGUAACCUUGUCACGGGAUAUACACUCAAUCACAUAUGUGUUUAGUUUUAAUGUGUUUCGCUCAAAUAAAGAAUCAAAUGUGAAAGUUCUACCAUAAGCUUGCAUAAAGAUCACUUCUCCACAGUCAUAAUUGCAAAACUUAAAUCAAGAGGACUUUUAUUGGAUAUAAUGAGGUUUAGGGAUAGGGUUAUUGAAACGAAAGAAUAGGAAAACACAAGUUCCAAGCUACAUUGCAAGCAAUUCUUUUGUUUAGAUUUAUAAGAACUCACGCUCUCCAACGAUUCUUCUGAAACCUCCAAUCACACCCUUAAACUGAAACUUUAAAAACAUUUUUUUUUUCUUUUCUUCGUAUACAAUCUUUCUUCUUUUUUUUUUUUUUUUUUAAUACAAACAUGAAAUACCCCCACACUUAUUCUUUUGCCCAACACCCUCAAAGUACUUCACAAACAUUUCUCAUAAGACAAUCUCACAUUGCUCACUAGCUUGCUUGGAAAGGGUAAGGAAAAAUGUUUCAGGUAUAAGGGUAGACAUAUCUGGUGAUAAGAAAUAAAAAGGCUCAACAUACACGGCUCAAAUUGGCAAUCUAAUGAUAUCAUUUUUUUCUUUGGGAUACAUGGUUAUUUGGAUCAUGGUGGUAAACCUAAUGCCUCUAUCAUUUCCAAGUUCAUGCAAUCAAUGACAAACAUUUCGAAAGAUCGUUA